rnacentral:rRNA from 1 species
GAUGAACGCUGGCGGCGUGCCUAAUACAUGCAAGUCGAGCGAACGGACGAGAAGCUUGCUUCUCUGAUGUUAGCGGCGGACGGGUGAGUAACACGUGGAUAACCUACCUAUAAGACUGGGAUAACUUCGGGAAACCGGAGCUAGUACCGGAUAAUAUUUUGAACCGCAUGGUUCAAAAGUGAAAGACGGUCUUGCUGUCACUUAUAGAUGGAUCCGCGCUGCAUUAGCUAGUUGGUAAGGUAACGGCUUACCAAGGCAACGAUGCAUAGCCGACCUGAGAGGGUGAUCGGCCACACUGGAACUGAGACACGGUCCAGACUCCUACGGGAGGCAGCAGUAGGGAAUCUUCCGCAAUGGGCGAAAGCCUGACGGAGCAACGCCGCGUGAGUGAUGAAGGUCUUCGGAUCGUAAACCUCUGUUAUUAGGGAAGAACAUAUGUGUAAGUAACUGUGCACAUCUUGACGGUACCUAAUCAGAAAGCCACGGCUAACUACGUG